rnacentral:tRNA from 1 species
GCCGCGGUGGUGUAGCCUUUGGGAGCACGCCGGCCUGUGGAGCCGGUGGUCCCGGGUUCGAAUCCCGGCCGCGGCCCCA